rnacentral:rRNA from 1 species
UACGUAGGGUGCGAGCGUUGCCCGGAUUUAUUGGGCGUAAAGGGCGCGUAGGCGGCCACGCACGUCCGUUGUGAAAUCGCCCGGCUCAACUGGGCGGGGUCAGCGGAUACGGUGUGGCUCGAGCAAGCUAGGGGGCAAUGGAAUUCUCGGUGUAGCGGUGAAAUGCGUAGAUAUCGAGAGGAACACCUGCGGCGAAGGCGGGUUGCUGGGCCGACACUGACGCUGACGCGCGAAAGCCAGGGGAGCGAACGGG